UGCAAGUCGUGCGAGAAAGUAUCUUCGGAUAUGAGUAGAGCGGCGGACGGGUGAGUAACGCGUAGGAAUCUACCUAGUAGAAGGGGAUAGCCCGGGGAAACCCGGAUUAAUACCGUAUACCUCCUUCGGGAGAAAGAAGGCCUCUCUUUGAAGCUUUCGCUACUAGAUGAGCCUGCGUAAGAUUAGCUUGUUGGUGAGGUAAAGGCUCACCAAGGCGACGAUCUUUAGCUGGUCUGAGAGGACGAUCAGCCACAUUGGGACUGAGACACGGCCCAGACUCCUACGGGAGGCAGCAGUGGGGAAUAUUGGACAAUGGGCGCAAGCCUGAUCCAGCCAUACCGCGUGUGUGAAGAAGGCCUUCGGGUUGUAAAGCACUUUAAGCAGGGAGAAAAAGUUAUAAGUUAAUACCUUAUAACCCUGAUGUUACCUGCAGAAUGAGCACCGGCUAAUUCCGUGCCAGCAGCCGCGGUAAUACGGAAGGUGCAAGCGUUAAUCGGAAUUACUGGGCGUAAAGCGCGCGUAGGUGGUUUGUUAAGUUGGAUGUGAAAGCCCUGGGCUCAACCUAGGAACUGCAUCCAAAACUAACUCACUAGAGUACGAUAGAGGGAGGUAGAAUUCAUAGUGUAGCGGUGGAAUGCGUAGAUAUUAUGAAGAAUACCAGUGGCGAAGGCGGCCUCCUGGAUCUGUACUGACACUGAGGUGCGAAAGCGUGGGUAGCGAACAGGAUUAGAUACCCUGGUAGUCCACGCCGUAAACGAUGACAACUAGCUGUUGGGAGACUAUGUCUUUCAGUGGCGCAGCUAACGCUUUAAGUUGUCCGCCUGGGGAGUACGGCCGCAAGGCUAAAACUCAAAUGAAUUGACGGGACCCGCACAAGCGGUGAGCAUGUGGUUUAAUUCGAUGCAC
rnacentral:rRNA from 1 species